AAGAAUUUGUUUGGGUUUUUCCAAAAGAUGUUAUGAAAGACCUGAAUGAACUUUUUGG
ensembl:miRNA